ensembl:lncRNA
UUGCUGAAGAGAGCUGGAGGGUGUUUGCACCGGGUUGCAAAAUGAACAACUUACUUUAAAAGUUCCUUUCAAAGUAAAACAAGAACCCUCCGGUCGCUGAGAGCUUGCGGUAAAGUCUGUCUGCCUGUGGACAAAAAAGUAAGAGCUAAACUACUAGAGGGGGAAAAAAAGUGAGGAAAAAUGUAAUCCUUGCUGGUAAGUUGUGAGAAGAGAUGCUGGUUGGAAUAGUUCUGUCAGUGGCUUUCUCCUUCUCCAGGUCCUUGGGAAGUUUGUAUAGGAUGGGCAGUCGGCUUCUGGAUGUGCCCCAGGGAAGCAGUGCACUCGUAAGAGGUCUGGGACUGCUCACUGUGCAGGAGUUGAAUGGUUUUGUAGAAGUGGGCUGGACUCUCUCACUGACUCUAGCUACCUUGCCUCUCUGUUUCUUUUCCUCUCUCUCUGAGUAAUUAUACUUCCCUUGGCCCCUCCCCUCUUCCUUGCUCCCUCCCUCUCUUUACGUUUCCUUUUUUUUUUUUUAAAGUUCAUUCAUUUGUAAGUUUUCACAGUCUUGCUGUUUUUAAAUGCAAGACACUUCUGUAUUAUGAACUCUCUAAAACAUGAUUACAUUUCAAUAGACAAAAUUCAAGUCUGGCAAACUGUCAAAAUGAAUUAUUAUGGUAGUAUUGGAGAGUUGCGGUGGCACAGCAGUUCCUCAUAAAUGUAUUAGCCAAUUCUGGUCAACUGGAGAUUACCAGUGGUAAUUUUCAGAGAACUUCAGUUUUCUUCCCAUUUAAACGGUUCUCUUGAAGAAAGAACGUCUUGACGUAACUUUAAAGCAGUGCGCGUUAAGUAUUCCACGCUUCCCGUUUACUGCUGCAACAUGCAACACAUGUUGUGCGCAGAUUCACCAAGAAGUGCCCGGAAGGCUAACUUCCUGUUUAAUUGGCAUAGGACAGAUGUCUGGGAUUCAGGCAGCUGGGGUUGUGACAUCAUCAAAGGCUGCGUCAAGGGCAUGUGUGGGUCGUUCGUCUGCAUAUCAGCCAAAACCUGCAUGAGGGAUCCUGCAGGCAUACGAGUCACGAUAUGCAGGUUUGGGGUUGGAGAGAGGCUGUAGGUCAGGCUGUCUGGGCUGUGCGCUAUCUGAAACCGGAAUCGACUCUGCCUCCCUCUGUGAGUUUCACUGGAGACCACAGGGAAAAUCUCCAAGACAUGAGGUCAGACAGGCUAAUGGCGAUUGCCCUGUUGUUGGAGAAGUGCGAAGAAGAGAAACAAGAGCCAAAACUUUCCCGCGCAAUCUGCGUAACCAUUGCAUUUGUCAAGCUUAUUAUGCUGUAUUCUCCCAUGUGGCCUAUACUUAGUAUAUCAGCCUAUACUUGGAGGCAUGGCCCAAACUUUUGAAUUCAUCUACAGUAAAUGAAAUGCCAUCAUUAAAGGUGAAGUGUGUGAUUUCUAUGCAUUUUUUAAUUUUUAAAAAUAAUGGCUUAUAAAAUGUUUCCCAAAUUAUCUUGGUUGGACAGACAGAUUUAAACACACACCAUUGGUCGAACUGUCAAACUGGUUGGGGUGCUAAAACAAAAACAAACAAAAAAAGCAAUGUUUUGAAAACAUCUGCCAUUGGUUGGCCAGAUAUAUAGCCCUAUGCUAUUGGUUAAACAAAUCACCAUAAGGACCAAGAUGUUCCUAUUAUUGCCAGUUUUUUUUAAGUCAACAUAAAAAUGAAAAUGGACCCUAUUUAUUUUCUGAAUUGACAUUUCUUGUGCAUGUUAUUCUAAAAAAAAAUGGUUUGUUUUCCUAAUCCUUAAUCAUAAUAUAAUUUUUUUUUCUUUUGUCAUCAAUCCCUCAUGUAUUUCAACACCUCCAAGCACCUGCCAUAUCAUUUCAUUUCUCACUUAAUGUAACUGCAACACCUCACCAUUCUGUUUUUUUCCUCAAAAUUCCAAGUUUACAUCUCACAUGUCACAGUUCAUAUCUCACAAUUCUGAUUUUGUAACAUGCAACUGAGAGUUUAUAUCAUGCCGUUCUGACUUUGUAACUCACAAUUGCUAGUUUUUUAAUCGGAAUUGUGAAAUGGAAACUCGCAAUUGCUGGGGGAAAAUGUUAUUUAGUUUUAUGUUAUUAAAUUUUGAUUCAGCGGCAGAAACAAGAUGUAACACAAUUGAGUUCUGACUUUGUAACUCACAUUUGCAAGUUUUUUUUUUUUUAUCAUGCAAUUCUGAGAAAAGUGUCAGUAUUGUGAAAUGGUAACUCGCAAUUGCCACAACAAACAAACAAGCAAACAAAAAAAACAUGUUAGAAUUGUGAAAUGGAAACUCGUAAUUGAAAGAAAAAGUCUGAAUUGUGAAAUGGAAAGAAAAACACAAUUGCAAGAAAAAAAGUCAGAAUUCUGAGAAAAAAAGUA